rnacentral:lncRNA from 1 species
AGUGUAUUGCUAUGCAUAUUGAAACGACCAAACUUGGUUUCUACAUUUCUCUGUUUGAAAAUAACAAUCCAUCAGAUAAACCAACGGACGCGGAAGUUGCAAUAACCAAAUUAUCGGGAGAGGUAAGCAAAUAUAUCCAGUUUUGUUACAGAGCACUUUACUGUUGGCUGCCUAUUGUAGAUUGUAACAUUUGCAUGCAGUAGACAAGGAGAACAAGAUUAUUGAUAUGUACUGGUAUAUAAAUUAAAUUUCAUGUUCUAAUAUAUAACAGAAGCACAGAUGCGGGAACGUCGCCUCUNNNNNNNNNNNNNNNNNNNNAAGAUUUGUUUAAUCCUGAUGAAUUAACCGCAUUGGGUUCACACUGUUAAAAGAUAAGUGCCUCCACAAUGCAGGAAUUGCCGGUUCAGACCCUCUUUCUGGGGAGCAUCCUCUAGGAUUCUGACGUCACAAACUUGUUCGCUUGUCCUUGUAUCUCUAGUGUAAAAAAGAUAAACCUGCUCCUAUUAGAAAUUAAAUUGUUACAGUUUCUGGGAAGAAUGUCCACAUGCAUACGUAGAAGCAGCUUAUGUUACUUGCCUCCUACCAUGUUGGACACAUUUUUCCCACUUGCAGGAAAGAUUUCCUGCAAGUGGCAAAAAGAACUGAUCAUUUCGGGGAAUUAAACCCACAGGUGCUAGGUUUAUUUACAAUAAGACUUCGGCAGAAGUUCGGCUUCGGCUGAUAACAAACUUCGGCCUUGAUAAUUUUUUAUAUAAUGUUGAAAUGUUCAACCUGUUUGAAUAAUUGUUAAAUAUCACUUCUACUUUGGUUUUCUUACGAAUUAUUUAGCUAAUUUUCCAAGUUCUGGCAAGACAAACACGUUACGAUCUCACUGUGAAAUUUAUUGGUGAUCCUGAGUUAAACGUUUCUUCCAGAGACAUUUUAGAGGUAGUUGUACACUUUGAUAUUUCUUGGGAGCUGUAUCGAAAAGAUUCCAAUUCCUUUAAAAUCUGUACAGUCCUUCAAUAUCGCUAAAAUGCUUGAAAAAUCCUAUAAAACGCUUUAAAAAUUCUUUGGGAUUUUAAAAUUCCCAAAAUCUUAGCUCGUUAGUUCCCUUUUGUGAGUGAUAUACUGCAUGUACACCCAUAGUAUAUUUGUAUUUGUGUAUGUAUGAUAGUAGCAAAGUAGUAAAAAUUGAAAAUAUUGAUGCUGCAUUUUUCAGCUCAUUUGUAUGUAAGAGAUUAGACGUAUAAACAUGCAGCAAAUAACAUAACGG